rnacentral:sRNA from 1 species
GACUAAGGUUCGACUCGAGCGCCAGCGAGAGAGCGUUGCCGCAGGCAACGACCCGAAGGGCGAAGCGCGCAGCGCUGAGUAAUCCUUCCCCCACCACCA